GGCAACCCUGACGGAGCAAUACCGCGUGAGGGAGGAAGGCCUUUGGGUUGUAAACCUCUUUUCUUAAGGAAGAAGCUCUGACGGUACUUAAGGAAUCAGCAUCGGCUAACUCCGUGCCAGCAGCCGCGGUAAUACGGAGGAUGCAAGCGUUAUCCGGAAUUAUUGGGCGUAAAGCGUCCGCAGGCGGCAUUAUAAGUCUGCUGUCAAAGACCGCAGCUCAACUGCGGAGAAGGCAGUGGAAACUGUAAAGCUAGAGUACGGUAGGGGUAGAGGGAAUUCCCAGUGUAGCGGUGAAAUGCGUAGAGAUUGGGAAGAACACCAGUGGCGAAAGCGCUCUACUGGGCCGUAACUGACGCUCAGGGACGAAAGCUAGGGGAGCG
rnacentral:rRNA from 1 species